GAUGAACGCUAGCGAUAGGCUUAACACAUGCAAGUCGAGGGGCAGCGAGGAUGUAGCAAUACGUCGUCGGCGACCGGCGAAUGGGUGAGUAACACGUAUGCAACUUACCUCUUAGAGGUGAAUAACCCGAUGAAAGUCGGACUAAUACACCAUAUACUCCUUGGGUCACAUGAAUUGAGGAGGAAAGAUUUAUCGCUAAGAGAUAGGCCUGCGUUCCAUUAGUUGGUUGGUGAGGUAACGGCUCACCAAGGCAUCGAUGGAUAGGGGAGCUGAGAGGCUUAUCCCCCACAUUGGGACUGAGACACGGCCCAA
rnacentral:rRNA from 1 species